rnacentral:rRNA from 1 species
UACGUAGGUGGCGAGCAUUGUCCGGAUUUACUGGGCGUAAAGGGAGCGUAGGCGGACUUUUAAGUGAGAUGUGAAAUACUCGGGCUCAACUUGAGUGCUGCAUUUCAAACUGGAAGUCUAGAGUGCAGGAGAGGAGAAUGGAAUUCCUAGUGUAGCGGUGAAAUGCGUAGAGAUUAGGAAGAACACCAGUGGCGAAGGCGAUUCUCUGGACUGUAACUGACGCUGAGGCUCGAAAGCGUGGGGAGCAAACAGG